AGACCCCUUGAAGACGACGAGGUAGAUAGGGCAGAGGUGGAAGUGCGGUAACGCAUGGAGCUGACUGUUACUAAUAGGUCGAGGGCAUAACCAA
rnacentral:ncRNA from 1 species